AUUUAACCCUUCUCAAAAACACUUUCACUCUUUUGCUAGCACUCUUUCAUAGCUCUAACCCUAAAAUCGUUCUCUGCAUUCGCAAAAAUGGCCGCUACACCCUUGGUAGGAAGCGCUUUUCUCUCCGCGACAGUUGAAGGUUUACUACUGAGACUCGCUUCAUCAGAGUUCAUCGAUUACAUCACAAGCAGCAAGUUGAAUCUCCUCAAACUCACCGUCUUCGAAACAUCGCUUCUCACUCUCAAUUCAGUUCUUCCCGAUGCAGAGCGGAAGCAGUUCUUCAAUCCCGCAGUCAAACAAUGGAUGGAUGAAUUGUACGACGCGGUCUCAGAUGCAGAUGAUUUGAUCGAUGAAAUCGGUUACGAUUUGAUAAAAUGCAAGGUGAAGUACACUCAACCUAAAGACGAUCUCUCAUUCAAUAGUAGAUUGUAUUUGAUGAAUAUAAUGCUAGAACUUUUUGUUCAUCGGAUUCGUUUCAUUGGCUUACAAUCUGUAAGUGGUAGGGUUUCUUGUAGAAUGCGUUCGAAUUCAAGUUCAGUGUUAAACGAUUCUUUCAUAGUUGGUAGGGAGGAUGAUAAAGAGAAAUUGAUGAAUAUGUUGUUGUCGGAUACCGGUACAAAUCUAGACGUGGUUGCUGUUUUAGGUGAUGGAGGGGUUGGUAAAACUACACUUGCUGAACUAGUUUAUAAUGAUAAAGAAGUUAAUGAGCAUUUUGAUUUGAAAAUGUGGAUUCGUGUGUCGGAGAAUUUUGAUAUCGUGAGGGUUACAAAAACUCUACUUGCAUCUGAAUAUUCAUCAACUUACAAGGACAACGAUCUUGAUUAUCUUCGACUUGAGUUAAAGCUAAAGUUGAAAUGUAGAAGAUUUUUAUUUGUGUUGGAUGACCUAUGGAAUGUUGGUUAUAAUGAUUGGCAUGAGUUGGUAGCUCCUUUGGUUAAUGGAAAAUUGGGAAGUAGGGUGGUCGUCACAACGCGUCAAGAAAAAGUGGCAGAGGUUGUGCAUACAUUUCCAAUUCAUAAAUUAGAACCUUUGUCAGACGAAGACUGUUGGUCUUUACUUUCCAAGCAUGCAUUUGGAAGUAAAGUUUAUGGUGGCAGUGAAUACCCAGAUCUUGAAGCAACUGGUAGGAAAAUUGCAAGAAAGUGUCUAGGAUUGCCACUAGCUGCCAAAACACUUGGAGGACUUUUGUCUUCAAGUGUAGAUUUAAAGGACUGGAUUUCAAUUUUGAUUAGCAACAUAUGGAAGAUACCAGAUAAUAAUAUUCUUCCAUCUUUGCUUUUGAGUUAUCAAUGUCUUCCCUCUUACUUGAAAAGAUGUUUUGCCUAUUGCUCAAUUUUUCCAAAGGGUUAUUCCUUUGAUAGAAAGCAAUUGGUCUUGUUGUGGAUGGCAGAAGGCUUCCUUGAACAUUCUCAGGGUGAAAAAUCACCGGAAGAAGUAGGUGAUGUCUACUUUGUUGAAUUGUUAUCGAGAUCCUUCAUUCACCAGUUGAAUGAUGACAGUGAGAGAAAAAAGUUUGUUCUGCAUGACCUUCUCUAUGAUUUAGCCGAGGUUGUAUCUGGGAAAAGUUGUUGCAGGCUUGAAGGUGGUGGCAUCAUCUCAAAAAAGGUUCAACAUAUGUCAUAUAUUCAAGACGAGUAUGACACUUUCAAGAAGUUUGAGAUUUUCUACGAUUUUAAAAGCCUGCGAAGCGUCUUGCCUCUUUGCAUUCGCCAGGGAUCAAGUUACUUAUCUAGAAAGGUGGUUGAUGAUUUGCUACCCACACUCAGACGUUUGCGUGUGCUAUCCUUAUCACAUCACGAAAACUUCACUGUGUUACCAGAUUCAAUGAAUAACUUGUUGCACUUGCGGUAUCUCGAUCUCUCCCAUACUAAUAUCAAAAGCCUUCCUGAAUCAAUAUGUGACUUGUACUAUUUGCAAACCUUAAAUUUAUCAUCAUGCUUUUUACUCAAUGAAUUGCCGAUAGAUAUCGGAAAGUUAAUUAAUUUACGCCACCUUGUUAUCACUAACUCUCGCAUUAAGAGGAUGCCAAAGCAAAUUGUUCGAUUGGAAAACCUUCAAACUCUAUCUGCUUUCAUAGUGGGCAAGCAAGAAGUUGGGUUAAGUGUGAGAGAACUUGGGAAGUUUCCUAACAUUCGGGGAAAACUUUACAUUGAAAAUCUGUGUAAUGUCAUCAAUGUCAGUGAAGCAUGUGAUGCCAACUUGAAGAAUAAAGAACUCAUUGAUGAGUUAGAGUUAUUUUGGAAAGAAGAAGAAGAAGAAGAAGAAGAACAGUUAGAGUUAUUUUGGAAAGAAGAAGAAGAACGAUCACAUGAUUCACAAACACAAACAGUUGUGCUUGAUGGGUUGCAACCAUCAAUAAACUUGAAGAAAUUGAUCAUUGGCAUUUAUCGCGGGACAAGUUUUCCAAGUUGGUUGGGAGAUUCUUCAUUUUCUAACAUGGUGUACUUGCGCAUAUGUUUUUGUGAAUAUUGUGUCACACUUCCAUCGUUAGGGCAACUACUUUCUCUCAAAGAUCUAAGUAUAGAUGGUAUGUCGAUAUUGGAGACAAUUGGUCCAGAGUUCUAUGGCAUGUCAGGUGGAGGUUUUAAUUCUUCGUUCCAACCAUUUCCAUCCCUUGAGCAUCUAAAAUUUUCCUACAUGUCUAAUUGGAAGGAAUGGCGUUCCUUCGGAGGCAGUAAGUUUCCGUUUCCUCGUCUUAAAACUCUGAAGUUAGAGGAUUGUCCUAAACUGAAGGGACAUUUGCCUAGUCAUCUUCCUUCCAUAGAGGAAAUUACAAUAAUUCGGUGUGAUGGUAUGUUGGCUACACCAUCUACUUUGCAUUGGCUUUCCUCAGUAAAAUCUUUAGAGGUGCAUUCUGGAGAGGCCAGAUGGCCGUUAUUUGAAAGUAAUUCUCUAGAGUCCACUGAAUGGUCGUUGUUUGAAAGUAAUUCUGCAUGUCUUCUGCAGCGUGUAGUAAUACGGAACUUUAGUAGGAUGAUGUUGUCUCUACCUAAAAUGUUUAUGAGUUCCACUUCUCUUCAACACUUGGAACUCUAUUCGAUUCCAUCUCUCUUAUCAUUUCCGGAUGAUGGUCUACCCACUUCUCUGCAGUCACUAAGUAUUUCUAACUGUGAGAAUUUAGCAUUCCUGCCUCCUGAAACGUGGAGCAAGUACACAUCACUUGUGUCUUUGGAUUUAGUGCAAUCUUGUGAUGCGCUUACCUCCUUCUCACUGAAUGGUUUCCCUGUGCUCCAUAGUCUUUACAUUUCAGAUUGUAAGAAUCUGCAAUGCUUUUUUGUUUCAGAAAUUUAUUCCCAUUGCCCGUCGACCCUCCAAUCACUUGAUGUUUCCAACAGUGAUGCAUUUAUGUCACGUCCUCAACGGAUGGACACUCCCAACCAUAAUGCACUUAUAUCACUUCCUCUACGGAUGGACACCCUCAUUGCUCUUGAAAGCUUGCGGCUCACAUUACCAUCAUUACCAUGCUAUGAAGGAGCUAGCCUCCCUCCCAACUUACGAUCAAUUUUCUUUGUAUCAUUAAGAACGAAAACAUUUGCCACAGGAUGGGGUCUCCAAAACCUUAGUGCUCUGUCUGAUUUGGAUAUCAGAGGUGAUGGUAUUGUUAACACCUUGUUGAAGGAGCAGUUGCUGCCGGUUUCUCUCGUGUCUCUGUCAAUACAUAAUUUCACUAAAAGGAAAUCCUUACCAGGAAAUGGACUUCAACACCUCUCCUCUCUUGAAAAUCUUAAAUUUAAUAAUUGUACAAAGCUUGGAUCAUUGCCAGAGAACAUGUUCCCUUCCUAUCUGAAAUCACUGGAAUUUUCGUAUUGCCCAAAACUUAAGUCCUUGCCGGACAGGUUACCUUCCUCUCUAGAAAUACUGGAGCUUGAUGAUUGUCGAAAACUUGGGUCAUUGCCAGAAGACGGUCUCCCUUCUCUUAAGCGACUGAUCAUUAGUAAUUGCCGUCUGUUAAAAGCAAAGUAUGAAAAUCAGAGAGGGGAACAUUGGUCCAACAUUGCUCACAUCCCUGUCAUAAAAAUAGAUAAUAAGUUGACAAUAUGAGCAAUGGGAAGGGAAGGAAGAAUUGCAAUCAGAUUUUUCAGACAACAGUUAAAGCCUUGGUAAGGAUAUUUUACAGUAGAAGAUGGAUCAGAUUAACCAAAUGGAGUAGAAUACAAAGUUGAAAAAUCUGAAUAGCAUGAAUCGGACUGACAGGAUUUGAAAAUUUCUCUACAAAUAUGCAAUAAAAAUUAAAUAUGUGUAAAUACUUCUGAUGCAUUCUCAACUACUCAAAAAUUUGAUAUACGAGAAGAGGUGAUAAGGUGGAUUAAAGAGUUGGAAUCAGAAAUAACGUAAUUGUUAUUCUCACUCAUUCAGAUGACAAAACAAGCAAUAGAGGGAGAAGCAAAAAGUAAUAUUUGGUUGUGAUAAAGGUAGAAAAUACAAGGAUAUAGAUAGUGGAACACAAAGUGAGACUAUAAAAUGUGGAUGUUCAUUCAAAAUUAGGUUGACUCCGACGAAAGAUGGGCCUUGAUGGAAUAUUGAUGUAAAAUGUGGACUUCAUAAUCAUGGUUUACCUGAUAGAAACAUAUUGUUUUCCUUGCAAGAGCGAGAUCCAGAGAAUGUCACUCGAAUCAGAUCACACAAAUGUAUAAGCAUAAGAGCAUGUUACAAAAAGAGAUAACAGGUCAUAGAAGUUAUAUACAAUAUUUGUUGAAGCUUAUAGAUGAUGCAUGUUAUGUUUAAUGGAGUAGAAAAAGAGAUGACUCGGAAGUUGUGAGAGAUAUUUUUUGGACCCAUAUAGAUUUAGUUAAGUUGUUGAAUAUU